CGCGUAGGCGGCUUGUCUGGUCGAGUGUGAAAGCCCCGGGCUCAACCUGGGAAUUGCGCUUGAGACGGGCGGGCGUGGAGUUCGGAGAGGAGCGUGGAAUUCCCAGUGUAGAGGUGAAAUUCGUAGAUAUUGGGAAGAACACCGGUGGCGAAGGCGGCGCUCUGGACCGAUACUGACGCUGAGGCGCGAAAGCGUGGGGAGCAAACAGGAUUAGAUACCCUGGUAGUCCACGCUGUAAACGAUGUGUGCUAGACGUUGGGGAGCCUAGCUCUUCGGUGUCGCCGCAAACGCUUUAAGCACACCGCCUGGGGAGUACGGCCGCAAGGUUAAA
rnacentral:rRNA from 1 species